GAUGAACGCUGGCGGCGUGCCUAAUACAUGCAAGUCGAGCGAACAGACGAGGAGCUUGCUCCUCUGACGUUAGCGGCGGACAGGUGAGUAACACGUGGAUAACCUACCUAUAAGACUGGGAUAACUUCGGGAAACCGGAGCUAAUACCGGAUAACAUGUUGAAACGCAUGGUUCAACAGUGAAAGACGGUCUUGCUGUCAUUUAUAGAUGGAUCCGCGCCGCAUUAGCUAGUUGGUAAGGUAACGGCUUACCAAGGCAACGAUGCGUAGCCGACCUGAGAGGGUGAUCGGCCACACUGGAACUGAGACACGGUCCAGACUCCUACGGGAGGCAGCAGUAGGGAAUCUUCCGCAAUGGGCGAAAGCCUGACGGAGCAACGCCGCGUGAGUGAAGAAGGUCUUCGGAUCGUAAAACUCUGUUAUUAGGGAAGAACAAAUGUGUAAGUAACUAUGCACGUCUUGACGGUACCUAAUCAGAAAGCCACGGCUAACUACGUG
rnacentral:rRNA from 1 species